AGAGGUGUGGCCGCGCCCUAAACCUGGCGCAAGGCCGGUACCUAAAGGCUCCUGGGAGCCAAAAGAGCAAGUCAGGGAACUAGCUUUGGUUGGGUUCGGUGGUACACAAAGCACAAGGCCUGGGUUGGGGUUAGGAGGAAAUGAGACUUGCGGCGGGUCGGGGCUGAAGAUGUGGCAGCGCCCUGAACCUGGAGAAAGGCUGGUACGUAAACGCCUGCGUCGCAAUCUGGAGUCAGCUGGAGUGUCCCGGCAGAAUCCCUUUGGUCAAGGAGAGGGAGAGAGAGGUAAGGGUCUGGUCUUACUUUUUAAGCAGGAAGAAGACUACAAACCACCAUCUACCAUCUGCCAGGUAAUUUUAAACCAGUCCACUUAAUCCCCAUCAGAUUUUCCAGAUGCUUUGAAUGCAGAGCUAAGGUUGAGAACCACUGAUUUAGACAAAUAUACUAUGGGAGAAGGGGAAGGAGGUUCCACCAGCAGAGAGCAACCAGCUAGAGCCAUUUGGGGCUUAUCACAAAAGACUUCUUGUCAGGGAAAUUCACCUAUUGAGAGACAUUUUGGUUGUUUCCAAUUCUGGGCCAUUGAAAAGAAUGCUAAUAAGCAAAGCCCCUCUUCUGCUAUGAAAGUAACAGUGGGCAGAUAUUCCCUCUCUGGCCCUUGGGUAACUGAAAGGAGGCUUAUAACCAAAGCACAGCCAGUGAGAUGCUCCUGCUCAGGAUGUUGAUUUUGGAGAAGUGACACAAGGUAUAUGAUCAGAGUUAAGGGUUCAGUAGGCCAGUAAUGAGUGCCAGUGGUGUUGGUUCCAGUAGCACAAUGGUAAGUAUCCAGUUUAGAAGGCUCGGGUGGCAGCAUCCUAAGCCCACUAUCCCUAGCGAGAUGCUGGCUGUGCCUCACCAACCCUCAUCCCUGCCUCAUCCUUGUUCUCCAGCUUCCCAUUAAAACUGUGAGCUUCCUAAUACCUUUCCAAUAAAUUAAAUUUUGUCAUAAAUAUACCAUAAUCCAUUUCUAUUGUUUCUUUCUUUUUUUUUCUUUUUUUUUUUGAGGCAGAGUCUUGCUCUGUCACCCAGGCUGGAGUGCAAUGGCACAAUCUUGGCUCAUGGCAGCCUCUACUUCCCAGGUUCAAGCAAUUCUCCUGCCUCAGCCUCCUGACUAGCUGGAAUUACAGGUGCAUGCCACCAUGCCCGGCUAAUUUUUGUGUUUUUAGUAGAGAUGGGGUUUUGCCAUGUUGGCCAGGAUGGUCUCGAACUCCGGACCUCAAGUGAUCCGGCUGCCUUGGCCUCUCAAAGUGCUAAGAUGACAGGCGUGAGACACCGCACCCAAUGAUUUCUAUUGUUUCUAUCCAAGAACAUUGAUGAGUAUAUGAGGACAAAAAUACUAAUCAAAAAGUCACAUACAAAUGAAUGAUUUGAAUUGGCAAUGAGUGACUUGAAGAAAAGGUACAUGGGUGAAAUUAAUCUGGUCUGGAAGGUCAAAGUAUAAAGAAUGCUUCCCUUAGGAAAUGACACUAAAACUGAGACAGACUCAAAGUUAAUGAGGUAAAACGUGGAGGGGUGGAGCGGUGGGAGGGUGAUGGGUAGUAACAAGGGGAAAGAAGAGUGGGAAAUGCAGCGCCAGUAGCCUGAGAUCAAAAUGGCUUUCUUAGCUCUGGUUGGUUUGGAGGGUAAGAAACUAAAGAGGAGGUGAUUGAAAUGCAGGUGACACAUCUCAAUGGAAUAUUAUGAUCCUUGUGGAGACUGCAUAGUACCAUGGAGCAAGUAUUAUGGUUGAAGAUAGUAGACCUGUAGUUCAUACACCAAAGAAUUAAGGAAUCACGCAUGCCUAUUGGAACAAAAGGGUAGGUAGGUAGAAUACCUGGCCUUGUUUUUCCCCCUGCGGCGGACAUCAGGUGUUUGUGCUAUAUACUGCCUCCUCCCUUAGAGAACUGCUGCUUCCCCAAAUCUUGAUCUGGUGGGAUUGCCAACCACAGCUCUCCACUCCCCUAGCCACAAUGAGGGCAGAGGAUCCAGGCCUGACCAGUCAGACCACAUAUUCCAAUCAGCACAGGGCAAUCCAUGUGAGCACAUGGCUCAGACUCAGGCAGGCAGGCUCUGCUCUGAUUUUGUUCAUUUCAGGCUGGAGAAGAGAUCUUUCCUCAACUCCACAAAUUACCCCAGUAUUCUUCCUGGGAUGGAUCCUUGCCCACCCAUGAAUCCUUUUUUGUUUUGC
rnacentral:lncRNA from 1 species